AAACAGAAUGCAAUUGAAAUUUAUGCCCACAAAGUAGGGGAGGAGCUUGAUACAUUUUAAAAUAAAACUUAAAUGUUGUACAAGAUUAAAUUUUGAAAUUCUAAAAUUACUCUGGGCUAUCUCAAUUAGCUAAAAGAAACUUUUAAUAAAAAAUCUAAAUUUCAAUUGGAUAACUUUAUAUGUUAUAUGAGAAUAAAAUGAAAUUAAGUGCUUUAUUUUGUAAUAUCUAAUUUUGGCUAAGGGUUCAAAAUAAUCAUAAGUAAACACAACUUAUUUGAUAAGAUUUGUCAUAUGCAUCAAAGAAAGCUUCUCUGGAUGAAGACAAAAAGAAAGUAUACCUGUGGAAAUAUUUGUUUUGUAAUAUUUACGUAUUUUAAUACACAAUCUUAGAACUGAUGCUACUCUGUACUUAGCAGAAUUUUCUCAGACUUUACAUCUUGACAACCAAAGAAAAAAUAUGUUCUUAAUUUAAAAUAUUGGGAUGAAAACUCAACUUCAGUAUAAAAACAAAACAAAAACAACCAGUUUUAAAGAUGGGACUUGAAUACCCACCUCCAGCCCUUUGAGGAUAUACAAAAAGGAUAUAAAAAGAUGCUUAAUAUCACUCUGCAUCAGGGAAAUGCAAGUCGAAACCACAGUGAGAUAUCACCUCCCACCCUUUAGGAUGCUACUAUCAAAAUAACAACUAUUGUUUGAUUCCACUUAUUUGAGGUUCCUAGAGUAGUCCAAUUCAUAGAGACUAAAGCAGAACAGGGGUUGCCAGGGAAAGGGUGGUGGGAGCAACUUAUUUGAUGGGUAUAGAAUUUCAGUUUGGAGUCAUCAAAAAGUUCAGGAGAUGGAGAGUGGUGAUGGUUGUACGAUACUGUGAACAUACUUAAUUCCACUGAAUGCUUCACUUAAAUGAUCAAUGGUAUAUCAUGCAUAUUUUAGCACAAUAUAAACGUUUAAACAUUUUUUUCAAACUUGAGAUCUACAGAGGACAGCCAAUUAUUUUCCAAGUUAUUAACCAUGAAAUGCUAACAUUUCUAGUUCAAAUUCUAUGUUCCAGGGUCCAAACACAAUCUAGGGAAUGCAUAUUAGUAAUCCACAGUUGGUAGGUAAUAAAACAUACGGAGGUUAAGAAUUUGCCCAGGAAUAUACCUCUGGUAGGGAGUGAGCUUGGACUCAAAUGUGAGCAGGCUGCCCCGUCCGUGUCCCUCCUGGCGUUUGACAUUCUCCAGCCCGAGUCUAUAAAACGUUAAUCCAAGACCACACACGUGGUUAGUAUUUUUUCACUUACACAUUUUCCCCACCAAAUUGUAGCUGUAACGCAUGAAAGAAAUCCAAGAAAUAUAUUGUCAUUUUCUGUAACAGUGUCGUCUUCAUCUGUCAUAAAAGUAGGGGACAGAGAGGUUUCCUUCAAGCCCAACCCCGCCUGAAAUAAGGUGACUAUAUUAAACAGGGCAGGAAAUCACAAGACCUCCGUUACACAUGCAGCAAUAGAGCCGCCAGCUAGGUAAAGAAUUUUCACCAUGAAAAUACAACUUUGCUUUGCAUCAUGUACAUUGUGCAGGAAGUCACAAGACCUCCGUUACACAUGCAGCAAUAGAGCCGCCAGCUAGGUAAAGAAUUUUCACCAUGAAAAUACAACUUUGCUUUGCAUCAUGUACAUUGUGCAGGAAGUCACAAGACCUCCGUUACACAUGCAGCAAUAGAGCCGCCAGCUAGGUAAAGAAUUUUCACCAUGAAAAUACAACCUUGCUUUGCCUCAUGUACAUUGUGCAUCAUGAGCAUUACGGAACAACUGUAUCACUAUCAAUGAUGACACGUUCUAACUGCACACGCUUCCAGCUUUCCAAGGUAUCGCUUCAUCUAUUGUCUCUGACUUUAUCCUCAGUGCAACCUUGUGCAAAUGAAGACAAGGGUAUUAAGCAAUUUGCUUAAUGGCAGAUCUGGGAAUAAGAACCAGAUCCUCUUGGGUGUGUUCAAUAAUUACUUGUUUAUAAACUGACCUCUUGGGAUUCUCCCGGAGAAAAAAUGCGAUGAAUCUUAGGCCAGCUCACAGACUCCCUUAUGUCAAUUUAAGUUAAAACAAAGUUACCCAUUUAAAACAUUUUUUGAUUAUGUGAUAAUUUUAUUCAUAAAAUAUCCCCAGUUAUUGUAGUCAAAUUAAGUUAAGAAAUCCAAUCUCAGCUCACGCCUUGAAACCUCAAAUUUUGAAUGGGUUAUGAUGAUCUGUGCCCCAGACAAGCCAUACCAUAAUGUCUGCUCAAUGUAGGCAUAAAUCUUAUUAAAAUAUGAAAGCAAAGGUGAAAGAUAAAUUAAGCAGCGAUAAGAAAAUGCUAUUUUAUUAUUAGAAUAAAAGAAUCAGCUGUAAUGACAACUAAUAAAAAUGAAAAAAGAUACAUGAUUAAAAAACGCUAAAUACUAAUUAUGGGAUCUGAAAAGUUGAAAGAAGAAAAUUCAUAUUAGGUAAAAGCAGAAGGAAGAUCAUUUAUAAAGUCCAUUGGAACAUUUAAAAUCCGGAAAGGAGAUGACUAUACAUGUAAUGAAAUGGAUAUUGGGAAGCCAAUAAAACUAAUGUGGGUAUGAAUUUUCUAAGUGAGAGUUUAGCUUAAAAACUAAUAUUUACUACAGAAUUUUGGCAGAAGUAGGUUUUAUGUACCCAAAUCUGUGGACGAAUCACAUAAUUUCUUUUAAUAAUUCAAAACCAUUGAGACCCAGACAGACUAAUUGAUUAGGCCCAAAUCACACAGUUCGACUGAACCCAGGAGACGCAUAAAGAUGCAUCCUAACAUUUUCAGGGCUUGAUAAAGAGGAUGAAGACGCCCACAUACCUCGUGCCCCAGGCCUGGUCCUACCCCUGCUUUUCCCUCCCCAGAUUCCUUCCUGCACCACCUGGGGAUACACAUCUGCUUCUGUGAACACUUCAGCCUGCAAGUCGAGAUCUGCCUCCUCCCCUGAACCACCACCUCCUGUGCACCUCUCAGACCUAGAAGCAAGCCACCCCCAUGACACAGGCCAGGAAGGUGGGGCAGAGGAAGAGGCCACGGUGGGCUCUAAAGCUAAGGAGUCUUCCAGUAGGAAAUUCAGGGUCUCAGGUACCCAGAUCACAGGGCAGAAGCUGGGCUUGGCUCUGGGUGGACUCUUCUGCUUGACUCCAGGGGUUCUUCUCACUGCAGCCAGGGGCAGGGCUAGACUACGCCAGAGCAGUUCCUCUCAUGCAUGGCCACUUAGCUAAGCCUUCCUUUCCCAGGCUUAAGAGUGGCACUUUUUAUAAAUCCCGUACAUUCGUAUAGUAUUCUUGGAAACCAAAGCAGUUUCACACACAUGAUAUCACUGGACCUUCCUGGGACCCCCAUGAUAUAGAAAAAACAGGUGUCACUGAGAAAAGUAAGAAGCAGAGAAAAGGACUCAAAGUUAGAAAGAAGCAGAGCUCAAGUUUCACACUGUCCACCGCCAUUCUGUUUCUGUUCCUGCCCUUCAAUAACUACCCACAAUGUCACUCUUUAGGGUGGGAAAGCCACCGUGCUAGACCACAACCAAAGGGAGGGACCCGAGCCUGAGCCCUCAUCUAAAAAAUCUGGCUUCAGGAUUUUGGAAACAUUCGAGGUGAAUAAAGUUAAGAUUCCACAUACCCUGGAGUUCUCUUGUGGCACAGCAGGUUAAGGAUCCAGCAUUGCCACUGCAGCAGCUAGGGUCGAUGCUGUGGCGUGGAUGUGAUUCCUAGCCCAGGCAUUUCCACAUGCCCUGGAUGCAGCCAAAAACAAAUAAACAAACAAACAAAGAUUCCGCAUAUCCUACCAUAGAUCACUAACUACCUGAGACUUCUUGAGCUGCCAUAACAAAGGACCCUAGACAAGGUGACUUGCAUCACAGAAAUGUAUUUUCUCACAGUUUCAGAGCCUUAAAGGCCAAAAUCAAAGUGUCUGCAGAUUCCAUGAGAGUUCCCUUCUGGGCUGUGGGCAGCUGACGUCUUGCUCUGUCCUCAGGUGCCUGUCCUUCAGGCAUGCAAAGAGAGAGAGAACUCUCAUGUCCAUUCUUAUGAGGACAUUAAUCCUGUGGGGUCAGAGCCCCUCUUAUGACCUCAUCUAAUCUUUGUCACCACUUCACUGGCUUAUCUCCAAAUACAGUCACAUUGGGGGUUAGGGCUUCAGCUUAUUAAUUUUUUUGGGGGGGCGGGGGGAGAUACAGACAUUUCACGUAAAGCAUUAAUCCAGAUAUACGUUUCUAUUACAAAAGUAGGGUCCAAUACGUCGUCCAUCACCCUAUUCUGCAGGUUCUUUUAUUAGAAUUGAUUAAAUUCCACAAACAAUUGCCUAAGAGCACUUGAAGAGUUUUACACUCUAGAUUGAUCUAUAGAUAACUGCAAACAUGUGUUAAGCGUGGUAUAGACGGGCACAGAACAUUCCUCCUGCUUCUGUCAUGAGCAAAACUUAGCUCCAGACCCCUCCACCUCUACCCAGCAGCCAUGGGUCGGGUGUCUCAGCUGCUGCUGUGUCCCCCAUAACAGGGAUAGACGUACCUGCAGUGAUACCUGCAGUAUCCUUAUAGACAAGUUCUAUUCUGCCAAAAAAUUAAUCAUUCUUUAUUUAUUACAGUCAGAACAUAUGUAUUGCUCCAGAAACUGCCCUAAGUGCUAGGGAUAGAACAACGCGCCAGCCACUGGGUCUGUCCUCGUGAAGCUCACAGUCUACUGAUUACAUAGCAAACGUUUUCCUGAGCCAUGGCAUUCAUGUUUUUGCCGUAAUGUUAUUUCUGCCCAUAUGGCCCAGCUGCAUGACUGUCUCCUGAUAUUGGACCCUGAUAAUUUUACAGUAAUGAAGCUGCUAUGCUAAAUAACACUCUCCACAUUUUCUGUCAUUUUCUUCCUGAUUUUAGGUUUUAAUAUGGAUUAAUCCUGCUAUCAAUGGAAAUAAGUUUUAACUGACACAAGAGAAUACAUUUUGAACACUGUUAUAACAUGAGUAGAAUAUCUGUCUUUUGCGUUCACAGAAGAAAAUUCGCACGACCAGCUGACUGCACAGUUGUUAAGACGGGAUAUUUUCUUCUCAAGUUUCAAUGGUUGAUUUGCCACUUUUCUCAGGUCUUUAGCUCAAAGCUGCUUGAUUUUGUGCCCUGUUAUUUACUUAUUUGUUUUUUGCCUUUUUCUUGUUAGAGCCGCAACCAUGGCAUAGGGAAGUUCCAAGGCCAGGAGUUGACGCAGAGCUGCAGCUGCACCACAGCCACAGCAAUGCUGGAUUGGAGCCAUAUCUGCCACCCGUGCCAGAGCUCACAGCAACAUCAGAUCCUUAACCCACUGAGCAAGGCCAGGGAUCAAACCAGCAUCCUCAAGGGUAACUAGUUGGGUUCAUUAUUGCUGAGCCAUAACAGGAACUCCCUGCACCCUUUUAAUAGUGGCUUUGUUGUUGUUCUGUCUGAAAGCGUUGAAGAUUUAUUUAUUUAUUUAUUUACUGUCUUUUUAGGGCCACACCCACGGCAUAUGAAAGUUCCCAGGUGCAGCCCUAAAAAGACAAAAAAUAAAUAAAUAAAUAAAAUAAACCUACAAAAUUAAAAAAAUUUAAUUUGAAAGUCCAUUUACAUAGACACAAAGAAUUACAUCAUUGACCACUGCAAUUGGACAAAGGCUGUCAACUUUAAGCUACCUU
rnacentral:lncRNA from 1 species